GUGUGUGUGUGUGUGUGUGUGUGUGUGUGUGUGUGUGUGUGCGCGCGCACACGCCUGUGUAUGCAAGCACAUGCGCAC
rnacentral:miRNA from 10 species